GGGGAUGUAGCUUAGUGGUAGAGCGCAUGCUUCGCAUUUAUGAGGUCCUGGGUUCAAUCUCCAGCAUCUCCA